CCAAUAGCGUAUAUUAAAGUUGUUGCAGUUAAAAAGCUCGUAGUUGAAUUUCGGGAUCAGUACGCUGGUCGUGCCUUCGGUAUGCACUGGUUUCACUGAUUCCUCCCUUCUGAAGAACCGUAAUGCCAUUCAGUUGGUGUGGCGGGGAAUCAGGAUUGUUACUUUGAAAAAAUUAGAGUGUUUAAAGCAGGCUCGCGCUU
rnacentral:rRNA from 1 species